GGAGGGGGGCAAGCGUUGUUCGGAAUUACUGGGGGGCGUAAAGGGGCGCGUAGGGCGGAAGAUCAAGUCAGGGGUGAAAGGCCUGGGCUCAACCCGGGAACUGCCUUUGAAACUGGUUUUCUAGAGUACGGGAGAGGAUGGCGGAAUUCCCAGUGUAGAGGUGAAAUUCGUAGAUAUUGGGAAGAACACCGGUGGCGAAGGCGGCCAUCUGGCCCGGUACUGACGCUAAGGCGCGAAAGCGUGGGGAGCAAACAGGAUUAGAUACCCUGGUAGUCCACGCCGUAAACGAUGUGUGCUAGCCGUUGGGGCUUCAGGUCUCGGUGGCGCAGCUAACGCGUUAAGCACACCGCCUGGGGAGUACGGCCGCAAGGUUA
rnacentral:rRNA from 1 species